UUCCCUUUCCGAAACCCCCUUGUUUUAUUGUCAGGCAUGCCAGCUUUUGAGUCGUGCUUCUCCUGCGUCAGGGCAUUGGUCCCGUAACUGCCCCUUCUCCUUUGGCUCCAGCACCUACUCUUGCAACCGGCCAAAACCAACAGCAAGCCCAGCCGUCCCUUUCUCUGGUUACAGACCUUUCACCUGGCAUGCACCAUCUUUUCAAAAAGCCCUGCUCAGUCAUCCCGGAAUUGCUUCCGCCGAGUCUUUCGACACAGGCAGCAGAAAUAACAGCCCGCCGAUUUGUCCCAAAUUUGACGACGUUUUGAAGAGGCAGGUUUUGUAUACAACAUAUCCAAGAGCAUUUGGAAUUCUGCAUCUUCCAUCGACUGGCUGGUUAUGAGAUGGGAUACCACGCGGGGUACUCUGCAGAUUGUUCGCAACCAUUCCUUCUGGCAUGAUUUUCCAUGUCAGUUUCAAGCACAGAAGGAGUCUAUCCAGCUGGACACGAUUUUUGCUAAAUCUGAGGGUACGGUGACCUCUUAUCUCUACAAAUGUCAUCAAUUUCUGUCCUGGUUAGAUUCACAAUGUAUUGCCCCGGCUCUGCCAAUUUCUGAACAAGUCUUGGCAUCCAAUCUAUCCCAAAUAAAAUCACAAUUGAUUCCAAUAGUGUUUUGAUUUUCACCGCUGCCGCAUUGCAGUGGUUCCGUUCCAUAAUCAAUUCCAAAAGCAACCCUCUUGAUUCUCCCAUCCUACAGCAUAUCGUCAUCAGCGGUAGAUGUGACCUCCAUCAUCCAUCUGUACAAAAACACCCAAUUUGGCUUACGCAAGUCAAAGCAAUUGUCGAUCUGUUUGCAGGUCUGGAGGCUUUGCUAUUAGACCUUAGAACUGCUUGUUACGUCUCUCUUAAGUAUGCCCUUCUCUUUCGACAUAAUGAGAUGGCAUGUAUGAAAGCUAAUCAUUUAACUGAGAUUAGUUGUGAUAACAAGGGUAUAGAUCCGUCCUUAUGAUAAGUGCUUAUAUUUAGGGAUCAUAUAUCUGCCUUUAUUGACACCGGAGAGCUUAAUUUAAACUUGAUGUAUAAUACAUAGACCAGAUUGAUUUGACGGUCAAUCUAUAUAAAUUGGUAAUUAUAAUUUUUCAGUCCAAGUUCAUUUGUGCCUAUUCCAAGUCAGUCAUUGCUUAAUUGUGUCGCAUUGUUUGUGUAUGUAUUUGGCUCAGAUUAUCUGAUUAAUAAUAGAUCCAGGGUUGAAUCGGAUGUGUAGCGAUGUUUGGUUCAGAUGAUCCAAGACGGUCAGAUGAUCAUUCAGUGGAUUUUAAGAAGAGUGUGGAAGUGGAAAAAUUAUGAAACUCGGACAAGGUCCGGUAUUAAUAAUGUAUUCAUCAGAUGACCGUCCUUAUGAUAAGGGUUAUAUUUACGGAGUAUAUGUCGGCCUUUAUUGACGCCGGAGAGCUUAAUUUAAUCUUGUGUAUAAUACAUUACAGACAAGAUGAAUUCGAUCGUCAGUCAAUCUAUAUAGAUUGGUAAUUAUAAUUUUCCAUCCAACAUCAUUCGUGCCUUUUCCAAUUCGGUCAUCGUUUCAUUGUGACACGGUGUUUGUGUAGGUAUGUUUGGAUCAGAUGAUCUGAUUAAUGAUAGAUCCAGGCUAAAAUCGUACGUGUAGCGAAGUGGGAUCAGAUGAUCCAUGACGGUCAGAUGACCAUUCAGUGGAUGUUGGGAAGAAAAGAGUGUUAAAAAAAAAUCCAGUGUAUCAUGAUUUGAUAAGCUCGAUGUUCGUGACACACCACCUCCCCAUGCUGAAUGAAUACACUUGGAAGGUCAAUCCAUUGCCUCUCUCUCCUUUGUAUGGCCGUCCUUAAUACUAAACUGCUUUUUGUGCGUAUGAGCGUAGCGAAGUGGCACAAAAUUUUCAAAACUUAUGGCCCUUCACAAGAAGUCAAAGUUACCAGCAUUAGCCUAGGCAAAG
rnacentral:lncRNA from 1 species